UGAUUUUUAAAAGAUGGCUUCGGCUAUCACUUCUGGAUGGACCCGCGGCGUAUUAGCUAGUUGGUGAGAUAAAGGCUCACCAAGGCAGUGAUACGUAGCCGACCUGAGAGGGUAAUCGGCCACAUUGGGACUGAGACACGGCCCAGACUCCUACGGGAGGCAGCAGUAGGGAAUCUUCCACAAUGGACGCAAGUCUGAUGGAGCAACGCCGCGUGAGUGAUGAAGGCUUUCGGGUCGUAAAACUCUGUUGUUGGAGAAGAACGUGUGUGAGAGUAACUGCUCAUGCAGUGACGGUAUCCAACCAGAAAGCCACGGCUAACUACGUGCCAGCAGCCGCGGUAAUACGUAGGUGGCAAGCGUUAUCCGGAUUUAUUGGGCGUAAAGCGAGCGCAGGCGGUCUUUUAAGUCUAAUGUGAAAGCCUUCGGCUUAACCGAAGAAGUGCAUUGGAAACUGGGAGACUUGAGUGCAGAAGAGGAGAGUGGAACUCCAUGUGUAGCGGUGAAAUGCGUAGAUAUAUGGAAGAACACCAGUGGCGAAGGCGGCUCUCUGGUCUGCAACUGACGCUGAGGCUCGAAAGCAUGGGUAGCGAACAGGAUUAG
rnacentral:rRNA from 1 species